rnacentral:lncRNA from 1 species
AAAACUAUAAAUACACAUGUCAACUUUACACUGUCUACAAAGCCUCUAAUGGAGUCCAUCUAUACCAUUAUCAAAAUAUAGGUUAAAGACUUGACAAAGCCCCGAAUUAACCUAGAGCUCACUAACUGUUGUUGAGCAUCCUGUGCUUCUAUUGGUGAGUUCUACUAGCUGAGUGCAUAUAUCUGCAGCAUGAAAUGCAGUGUCCCCCC